rnacentral:lncRNA from 7 species
GAACUAAGACCAGGUCUUUUUGUUUUUUGGGGUGUUCAUAUCAUUAAUGGGGUACCAUGUCAGUGUUUUUGUUUCAUGCAUCCUGGAUGGCUGGAUCUUAGUGCUGAAUUAGACUUGUAUUGUAAGACAUUGAUGUUACUUUUUGUAUUGUUCUAGUGACAGGAAGCUAGUUCCUUUUACAUUAUAUCUUGUCAUGGAACAAAACAUACCAUUACUUGUUUUGUUUAAUACAAUGAUUUUAUGAUUUUCAAUGGUCUUGCUGAUAACACUGGCUAUUGUUGAUUUUAACCUUUUACUGUAUUCUCUCCGUCCCUGAAAGAAUGACAUUCUAGAUUUUCUUUAAUUAUACUAUCUUAAGUUUGACCAAGAAUGCCUAUUUUUCUUAGUAAAUAAGAGUCAACAGAUUCAUCAUGAAAUGUAGUUCUAUGAUGGACCUAUAUUAGUGUCCUAAAUUUUGAUAAGCUUCCUAUAAACUUGGUCAAAGUUAAAAUAGUUGGACUUCAGACAAACUGGUGUCAUUCUUUUUUGGAAUGAGGGAGUAUCUUGGAUAUUGUUUUGUAUCAUCAUACAUAUGGGGACGUUGAAAAGCCAUAACAGAUAGGUUUUAGCUAAAGAAAAUGUGAUGUAACUAUGUAGGCUCUAGGGUUUAUUAGGAAAAUCAGUAGUACUUAUUUGUUUAGAUGUUGGAAAUUUAGGUUACAUCUUUUAUUUUGGGCAGUAGAUACUGACUUUCAAAUUGAUAUUUUAAAAUUUACUAAUAAUAGUUUCCAUUGCCGCAGCAAUUUUAUGUCAUGACAAUGAGAUUGUAGUGUCUGGAGCUGUUAUCUCAUGUUGUCCUAGACAUAGUUUGGGGUUUCUAUGAUGACAUAGCUAAACUUUUUAAUAAAGGCUGGGGUUUUUUCCCAUAGACACCUGGGUUUCAUAGAUUUAAAAACUUGGUCCAUGAAGUCAUGAGAGCUUAAAUAGAACUUUUCUCUCUGUUCAGUCAAAU